GAUGAACGCUGGCGGCGUGCCUAAUACAUGCAAGUCGAGCGAGCGGACGAGAAGCUUGCUUCUCUGAUGUUAGCGGCGGACGGGUGAGUAACACGUGGAUAACCUACCUAUAAGACUGGGAUAACUUCGGGAAACCGGAGCUAAUACCGGAUGAUAUUUUGAACCGCAUGGUUCAAAAGUGAAAGACGGUCUUGCUGUCACUUAUAGAUGGAUCCGCGCUGCAUUAGCUAGUUGGUAAGGUAACGGCUUACCAAGGCAACGAUGCAUAGCCGACCUGAGAGGGUGAUCGGCCACACUGGAACUGAGACACGGUCCAGACUCCUACGGGAGGCAGCAGUAGGGAAUCUUCCGCAAUGGGCGAAAGCCUGACGGAGCAACGCCGCGUGAGUGAUGAAGGUCUUCGGAUCGUAAAACUCUGUUAUUAGGGAAGAACAUAUGUGUAAGUAACUGUGCACGUCUUGACGGUACCUAAUCAGAAAGCCACGGCUAACUACGUG
rnacentral:rRNA from 1 species